rnacentral:tRNA from 2 species
GCCGAGGUGGCGAAAUUGGUAGACGCACUAGCCUUAGGAGCUAGCGGGGCAACCCAUGGAGGUUCAAGUCCUCUCCUCGGCACAA